rnacentral:rRNA from 1 species
UACGUAGGGUGCAAGCGUUGUCCGGAAUUAUUGGGCGUAAAGAGCUCGUAGGUGGUCUGUCGCGUCGGCUGUGAAAACUCGGGGCUCAACCCCGAGCCUGCAGUCGAUACGGGCAGACUUGAGUGCGGUAGGGGAGACUGGAAUUCCUGGUGUAGCGGUGAAAUGCGUAGAUAUCUGGAGGAACACCGGUGGCGAAGGCGGCAUCCUGGACCAACACUGACGCUGAGGAGCGAAAGCCAGGGGAGCAAACGGG